AUGCAGGGAUGCGACGAGGAAGGCCAGGGCCAUUUGGAAUUAAAUCUGGCAAGAGAUGUCAAGGACAACAAGAAGGGCUUCUUCAAAUACAUCAGCAGCAAGAGGAAGACUAGGGAAAAUGUGGGCCCUUUGCUGAAUGGAGUGGGUGCCCUGGUGACGAAGGAUGCAGAGAAGGCAGAGUUACUGAAUGCCUUCUUUGCUUCAGUCUUUCCUGCUCAGGCCAGCCCUCAGGAACCCCAGACCCUGGAGACAAGAGAGAAAGUCUGGAGGAAGGAAGACUUUCCCUUGGUCGAGGAGGAUCAGGUUAGAGAUCAUUUAAGCAAACUUGACACCCACAAAUCCAUGGGACCCGAUGGGAUGCACCCACGAGUGCUGAGGGAGCUGGCGGACAUUAUUGCUAAGCCACUCUCCGUCAUCUUUGAAAUGUCCUGGAGAACAGGAGAGGUGCCUGUGGACUGGAAGAAAGCCAAUGUCACCCCAGUCUUCAAAAAGGGCAAGAAGGAGGACCCAGGGAACUACAGGCCAGUCAGCCUCACCUGCAUCCCUGGAAAGGUGAUGGAGCAGCUYAUCCUGGAGGCCAUCUCCAAGCAUGUGGAGGACAAGAAAGUGAUCAGGAGUAGUCAGCAUGGCUUCACCAAGGGGAAAUCAUGCCUAACCAACCUGAUAGCCUUCUAUGAUGGAAUGACUGGCUGGGGAGAUGAGGGGAGAGCAGUGGAUGUUUUCUACCUUGACUUCAGCAAGGCUUUUGACACUGUCUCCCAUAGCAUCCUCAUAGACAAGCUCAGGAAGUGUGGGUUAGAUGAGUGGACAGUGAGGUGGAUUGAGAACUGGCUGAAUGGCAGAGCUCAGAGAGUUGUGAUCAGCAGCGCAGAGUCUAGGUGGAGGCCUGUAGCUAGCGGUGUCCGGUCUUGUUCAACUUCUUCAUCAAUGACCUGGAUGAAGGGACAGAGUGCACCCUCAGCAAGUUUGCUGAUGAUACAAAACUGGGAGGAGUGGCUGAUACGCCAGAGGGCUGUGCUGCCAUUCAGAGAGACCUGGACAGGCUGGAGAGGUGGGUGGAGAGGAACCUCCUGA
rnacentral:lncRNA from 1 species